UGUUUGUUGUGGUAGUGGGGAGGUAGGCUGCUGUUCUUUGUUGAUCUGUGUGCUGCAGUAUUCAUGGAUUCCCUGGACCUGCAACUGCAGUAGCAAGCCCCAAGGGCACUGACAGCUACGAUACCUUGAACAGCCUCACCUCUGGAGCUCAGCCACACCUGCUGGCUCUAAUUGGGAUCAGCUCUGGGCAUCUAGAACCUUCUCAGAGCUGUUGGGCUGGUGCUUCACCACUUCUGUAUGCUGGAUGGACCUCAGCCAAGCCAAUGGUCCUAGCCCUGCAUCUGGAAAUCCAUGUGUUGGCAGCAAUUUGCUGAACCCUUGCGGACUGACCCCAUGAUCUCAGCAUUGCUGUGAGAGCUGGAGGUAGGGGUGGUGUGCUGGGGUGCAGGUACCUGCACUCAA